AUGAGGAUGGCAGAAUUAAUGCGUUGGAGUUAAGUUCCAAUUAUGGGUUUUCUCUAUAUA
rnacentral:tRNA from 1 species